rnacentral:lncRNA from 1 species
ACACAGGCAGGUGGACAUCAAGAGGAGCACAUCAGUGGAGGAACACACGGGCAGCUGGACGUGGUGAGCAACGCUCCGACAGUCACCAGCACGCCAGAAGGACACCGACCGAUCGGCAGAACGACGUGGAGUUUGGCCAGGGCAGUUGGAGAGACCAGGCUGCCAAGUGGCCUGACUCCAGAGGAAAACCUUCCCACUCCAUCCCCCUCUGACUUCCCCGGAGCUACCUCCACGCAAUAAAACAUUGCAGUCAUUCUCCAAGCCCAGGUUUGAUUCGAUUCUUCCGGUGCACCAAGGCAAGAAUCCUGGAUACGGAAUGCCCUCUGUCCUUGCAACAAGGUCUAAUUGAGCUGGUGAACAUAAGCCACCUAUAGAUGGCAAAGUAAGAACAUAUGGUAGCACAUGUCCACUGCAGCGUCAGGAGCUGGAAACAUUCACCCCUAGACACUGCCAUGGGGUCAGAGCCCCCCAGCCUGCUCGUCUGUAUGCUCCCCUGGCUAGUUUGAGCAUCGGGGCACUGAAGAAGCAAGCCACACCCCCAUCGCACACCCUGCAAGGGGAACAAGGGAACCUUUCCCAUUUCACUUAUAAGACUGAUCAUAAGACCGAUCAGGGCCGGGCAUGGUGGCUCACGCCUGUAAUCCCAGCACUUUGGGAGGCCAAGGGGGGCGGAUUAUGAGGUCAGGAGAUUGAGACCAUCCUGGCUAACAUGGUGAAACCCCGUCUCUACUAAAAAUAAUAAUAAUAAAAAAACUAGCUGAGUGUGGUGGUGCAUGCCUGUAGUUCCAGCUACUCGGGAGGCUGAGGCAGGAGAAUGGCUUGAACCCGGGAGGCAGAGGUUGCAGUGAGCUGAGAUUGCACCAUUGUACUCCAGCCUGGGUGACAGAGCCAGACCCCAUAAGACUGAUCAGGAGGCCUGGCACCGAAGCUCACACUUGUAAUCCCAGCACUUUCAGAGGCCAAGGCAGGAGGAUUGCUUGAGGCCAGGAGUUCAAGACCAGCUUGGGCAACACAGCAAGACCCCAUCUCUCCAAAAAAUAUUUUCUUUAAGUAGCCAGGUGUGGUGUUGCAUGCCUGUAGUCCCAGCUAUUCAGGAGACUGAGGCAGGAGGAUCACUUGAGCCCAGGAGUUUGAGGCUGCAGUGAGCUAUGAUUGCACCACUGCACUGCAGCCCAGGAGACAGAGUGAGAUCCUGUCUUAAACAAACAAAAACACAAAACAGAUCAACCAAGAUAAAAGAAAAAUAAAGAGGGAAAAGCCUAAAUUGCCAAUAUCAGAAAUGAAAGAGGAAAUAUAGAGAUUCUACAGUCACUAAAAGGGAAAUCAGGGAACAUGAUAAACCAGUUUAUGCCAAUACAUUUGGCAAUUACAAUGAAAUGGGGGAAAGUCCUUGAAUAAUACAAUUUACCAAAACCACCUUAGAAUAAAAUGGAAAAUCCGAACGUCAACCCAGACUGAGGGGCACUCUGCAAAGUCGCUGACAAACACUCACAAAAAUGUCAAGGUCAAGAAAUACAAAGAAAGGCUACAAGAACUGUUGAAGAAGGAUGGAAAUUAGGACUUUGAAAAGGUCAUAGGCCCGCGGUCCUGGAUUAGAUCCAGGAUGUAGUGGGAAAAAGCUAAAGGGAUGUUUAGGCACAAUUGAUGAAAUCUGAGUAUGGACUCUGGAUUAGAUAUUUCAUUGGUGUGAACUUUCCUGAUUUUGACAGCUAUACUGUGGUAAUGAAAAGAAGUGUCUUUGUCAGGAAGUACACGCUGAGGUAUUUAGCAGUAAAAUGGCAUAAUUUCUUCAACUCUCAACUCACCCUCCGUCGAUUCAGGGAAAUGCGCAUAUGCAGACACAGGCACAUGCAAACACAUGUAAACACAUGCAAACACAUAUAAACACGCGUGAACGGCAGAACAGCAGGAAGGUAACGCCAGAGAGAAUUGGGAACAGCAGGAAGGUAAUGCGUGAGGAGAAGUGGGAAUGGCAGGAAGGUAAUGGCAUGAGGAGAAGUAGGAACAGCAUGAAGGUAACGCCAGUGAGAAGUGGGAACAGAGGGAAGGUAACGUCGUUGAGGAGAAGUAGGAAUGGCGGGAAGGUAACGCUGGUGAGAAGUGGGAAAGGCGGGAAGGAAACACCAUUGAGGAGAAGUGGGAACGGCAGGAAGGUAACGCCGUGAGGAGAAGUGGGAAUGGCAGGAAGGUAACGCCAGUGAGGAGUGGGAACGGUGGGAAGGUGACACCGGUGAGAAGUGGGAACCGCAGGAAGGUAACGCCGUUGAGGAGAAGUGGGAACGGAGGGAAGGUAACGCCAGUGAGGAGUGGGAACGGUGGGAAGGUGACACCGGUGAGAAGUGGGAACCGCAGGAAUGUAACGCCGUUGAGGAGAAGUGGGAACGGAGGGAAGGUAACGCCAGUGAGGAGUGGGAACGGUGGGAAGGUAACGCCAGUGAGGAGUGGGAACGGUGGGAAGGUGACACCGGUGAGAAGUGGGAACCGCAGGAAUGUAACGCCGUUGAGGAGAAGUGGGAACGGAGGGAAGGGCAUGUGCACACCACCCUCGGCCGUCAUCCUGGAGACGCGGGAGCUCGGCUGCCAGGUUGCUGAUACGCUCCAUGUUCAGGAGCUGUCCCACCGGGAAAGGUGUCCGUGGGGGUGAGGAGCCCUCUUCUGAUCCUCCUGCUUUCCUGGGGGGUGAAGCUGCUUUCCCAGAAAACACCAGGCCCCCCUCCCAGCUGCCGGACCCCACAGUGUGGUCUUUGUCCCCAGGGGCAGUGCUUUCUGCCCCUUUUGUUCUCUGCUGAUCCCCAGAGCCUGGCCCUGCACAGGUCGUCGGUGAUGUCUGUGGAUUAGAGACCUGCUCCCCUGUGCCUCCACAGGGGAGGGCCACACAUGCAUACACAUGCACACUCAGACACAUGGUCACACACAUGAUCAUGCUUACAUGUCACACACUAUACACACGCACUCUUGUGUACACAUGGCACACACUUACCCUAACGCAGCCACACAGUUCACACACACCCACCCCCUCCUGCUGACACUCUCACAGUCACACACAUGCACUCACCACACCCUCCCCUAGUGGGCUCUGGGGUUCCACCAACCGUAGCUGGGUGGCCACCCCAUGGUCUUCACCACUGCGUGGCCCAACACACAAAGGUGGCCUGGGGUCUCUCCCGACUCUAGGUCAGUUCUUCCUGGUUCCCUGGGCCAACAUUCUCCUGCGGGCCCAGUCUCAGUCAGCCCUCACACGUGGGGAUUCCAGCCCAGCCCCCUUUCCCAGACUCCACACUUGGAUUCUCAAGCCAUAGGUAAAGUAGCCGUGCCGGCACCGACUGGCCCCAAAGUGGAGCCGAUGCCACAAAGCACUGCCGGGCCAGACACCAGCCAGGCAGAGUGAGGAGAGCACAGGCCCCUGGGACAGCGGUGCAGGUCGGCUUCCAGCCAACUUUGGGGUCCCCAGGACCCCGCCUUUCUGGAGGGGUCACCAAGCCAGAGCUGGGCUCCACCUGGCCAUUUGUGAGAUGUGCAGCUUUGUGAGCUGGUGCUGCCCCUGGGGCAGUUUAAACAGCGGUGGUGGGAGGAUGUGCAAAUGCUUCCAACCAGGGGCUUCAUUUUCGCUUUUCCCUGGAGAGCCUGCUUGCCAGCACCCCGCUACCAGGGACCCUCCGUGCCUCCCCAACUCCACCUAACCCCUUCUCCAGCUCCCCUAGUGGGGGGCGGCACCUUGCUCUUCUGAGCGGAGCCGGGGAGAGCGAGGACCCCGCACAUCACCACGUCCCUCCUGCCCCCGGCUUCUGCUUGCCUGUCCCCAGGAGCUGGGAUGCCAGGUCGAUUUCAACUAAGUUCUCUUUUACGGACAUACACACCAGUGGGAUUUGAUUACUGGCCUCACCUGCGCUGGAAGAAGCUCUAUCUUUAACUUCUGUUCUGCUCAUUCUGCUCAUGUAUAUAUUCUGAGAUGUUUUAAACAACAAUUCACCCAUCUUCCUGGCUUUCACCUGAUGAAAUUACAAAUGUUCAGAAUUCUCACCACCUUCUGGUUAAGCAAGUGUCAUGGAUUGAACUGUGUCCCCCUGAAACUCUUAUGCUGGAGUCCUAGUCCCACGGCCUCAGAAUGUGGCCUUAUUUGGAGACAGGGUCUUCACAGAGGUGAUCUAUUUAACAGGAGGUCCCAGGGUGGGCCCUAAACCCCAUGGCUGGUGUCCAUAUAAGAUGGGCACAUUUGGACACCGAGACACAGACAAGAAGACGACCACAUACGGCCACGCGGGGUGCCCUCCAAGGAACCAACUCCGGCCGCACCUUGUUCUCGGCCUUCCCGCCUCCUUUCCCGCUGUUUAAGCCGCCCAUGAGAGUGCCCCGUGAUGGCAACGCCAGCGGGCGCAUAUACAGCAGGCCUCUGGGGUCCAGCCUGGGAGCCCAGACACAGACACCGUCUCUACCUGGCAAGAUGGGGUGAUGAAAUGAGAAAUGAAUAGAUCUGGUCUCUGCUCCCGAGACCCCGCACAGGGCUCCAAAAGCCCUCGAAUUUCCUGGGUGAUGGCAGCAGAUUCUUCCAUUCAAAUGAGGUGAGGCUUGGUGGCUCCUGGAGGGGGUCCAGUCACCAGAGAGACCAGCCAGGAUUAGCACCUGCAGCUCUCAACCCUGCACCCACCCUCCUCCAGGGAUCAUCCACCAUCAUCCUUCAUGUCUGCGAUGGAGCCUCCAUAAGAAUGCCUGGACUAUGGGUCCCGAGCAGUUCCAGGUUGCUGAACACAUCCACGGGCCAGGAGGGUGGUGCCCCCCACUCCACGGACACAGAAGCUCCUGGGCUGGGGACCCUUUCCGACCCUGCCCUGUGCCCCGGCCCACCUGGCUGCCCAUCUGCGGCCUUUCUCAUCUCCUUUUCCUGCGUUCUGUGAUAAUUUUGUGUUGCACUCUUGAUAUUUAAGGCUAAUGUGUAACUAGAAAACUGAGUUUUAAUAUUUAAUGCCCUUGGAUUUGGGAAAUCUCUUACUACAUUAUGUUUGGAUAUACUUUCUCUGAGGGGAUAAAUAUUUUAUCGAGGCUGUA